CUAAUCCACCAACUCAGUGUUGAUGAAGACUACACAGAGAGAUCACAGCCUUCUUUAGACUCAACACUGCACACAUGACGCCUCUGUUCAUCUCAGUGCUGCUGGCUGCUACGAGCCUCGAAUGCAGAGCGCAAAAAGACAACGUGCUGCAACCAGAAGGAGAUGAGACUGCUGCUGAAGGAGAGGCAGUAACACUUGGCUGUCAAUAUAACAGCACUUCAUCUAAUCACUAUCUGUUCUGGUACAAACAGGAUGGAAACAACAGCCCCAAAUUCAUCCUGAGCCGCUUUAAGGUCGGCUCGGGGAAAACAGAGGACCAGGAGAGAUUUUCAUCCACACUGAAUUCAGACUUAAGAUCAGUUCCUCUGAGGAUCCAGAAGCUUCAGCUGUCAGACUCUGCUGUGUACUACUGUGCUCUGCAGCCCACAGUGACAGGAAACACCACAACUCUGUACAAAAACCUUUGGAGCAAAGACAACACAAUACUCCACAACGUCCACUAGAGGGAGUCACACUCUGUUCCACUUCAACAGGAGCUGAUGAUCCAGUCUAGAUUGUUUCCCCUCAUGAGUUCAGAAGGAAACAAAACCAGACUGGACAGAGAGUCCUUCCCUCCAGUAUUUUUUUGGUGUCAAGUAAUUUUUUUUUAAUAUAUAUAUAUUUU